UGAGCCACCCUCAGGUGCCCCUGGUUUUCUCUUUUUAAAGCAAGUUGCUAUUGUAAACAGAUGCCUACCUGAUUUCUACUUAAGCGAUUAACCAGUGCUUUUCCUAAAUGUCUUACACUUGUGCCCAAGAAUCCAGGUUCUUGCAUGCUCCACUAAUUGAGAUACGUGUCUAGCUGACGCUGGUGGUGGCCAUCCGUACGCUCUCAGCAUUUGCCAUUUCCCUGUGCCCAGAUGACUUCUUAGUGCAAAUCGCUGUCACUCUUUGCGUGUGGGCUUUUUCUGGCUGGCUAUAGCUGUGUGCUCGGUCCACACAGGGGCAGCUGGAGGUAUGGGGGAUCCACUGCCCCCCCAGCAGCCCUCUUAUGAUGAUAGCUGGGAGCUGGUGCGUAUGUAGCCCAGCCCACCGCCCCUCAGGUGGGCCAACUCACGCAGUCUCCUCGUGGUUGCCAGCCUGAUGAGUCCCAGGUGUGCACAGCUCUUGCCUUCUCUCUCUUUCUCCACCAUCUUCCUUCCCACGGGGGCUUCCUAGGGAAAGUUGGACCAGCCUUUCCGCAGAGACGAUCUGCUCCCAGCAGAUAGUGAGCAGUAGCUGGCGUCUUUCAGAACAAAUCCCCCAAGUAAUAGACCAUGCUGCUAGUGUCAGCUUCCUUUCCAGAAGCAGAAAUCCUCUGAUUCUGUGAAUUAUGAAUCCAGACACGUUGGGCCCAGUACUAUCAUACCAGUCACACAUCCCAUUUGUAGUACUGGGAUCAAAGAGAAGAAUGAACCCCCGAUUUUGGCCCUCGUUUGUUUUAGAAUCGUAACCCUGGAAGCAAUCUUGAGGACCUGCUUACUCUAUUGAUGACCUUGCUCAUGUGCAAUGGUUCACACUGAGCGAAUUUUGAUAGGCUCGAAGUCACUUAAAAUUAUGCUUGGAGUGGGUAAUAAAGAAAUCCGGUGCUGUUCGAUAACUCUUUUCAUCUCUUGUCUCUUUUUGUCCAACGUUCUGUAAACCCCUCGUACCCUCUACAAUAAUCUCUGCCCUCCCUCCACCAAGCUUCUGCUUCAUCGUCCUCCCUUAAUUUCGAAUCCAACUAUGAAAGGAGAAAAGGUGAGAGAGAGAGAAGGGAAAAAGGGAAAAAAGA